rnacentral:rRNA from 1 species
AUACGUAGGGGGCAAGCGUUGUCCGGAAUUACUGGGCGUAAAGGGAGCGCAGGCGGUCUUUUAAGUAGGAUGUGAAAUACCCGGGCUUAACCUGGGGGGUGCAUCCUAAACUGGGGGACUUGAGUGCGGGAGAGGAAAGUGGAAUUCCUAGUGUAGCGGUGAAAUGCGUAGAUAUUAGGAGGAACACCAGUAGCGAAGGCGGCUUUCUGGACUGUAACUGACACUGAGGCACGAAAGCGUGGGGAGC